GUGCUCACUUCAGCAUCACACAUACUAAAAUUAGAACAAUAUAGAGAAGAUUAGCAUGGCCCCUGUGCAAGGAUGACAUGCAAAUUCAUGAAGUGUUCCAUAUUUUU